rnacentral:misc_RNA from 1 species
CCAGUAGUCCAAAUGGAGUCAUUGAUGCAUACUUCAGCUGCGAUAGCUCAAAUGAGUCGUGGGCUGUGUCGUCAACAGCCUCAUCAUCACCAGUGUCUCGAUUCAAAAGAAAUAGAACCCAGGAUCAGCAGAUGAGGGUGCCCUCACUAAAUCGUUUGUUUGUAGAUGUGCUUGGCAGUCCUCACUAAUAUUUACUUGUCCUUUUGUCUACUACAAAACAUGUCAUUAUAACAUUUCUCUAUUUUGCAUAUUAAUUGUAUUAUGCAGUUCUUGAGGCGCAACCUUUUUGUGCUUUACCGAUUAUCAAUGUAUUUCGGGC